rnacentral:rRNA from 1 species
CCUACGGGAGGCAGCAGUGGGGAAUAUUGCACAAUGGGGGAAACCCUGAUGCAGCGACGCCGCGUGAGUGAAGAAGUAAUUCGUUAUGUAAAGCUCUAUCAGCAGGGAAGAAAAUGACGGUCCCUGAGUAAGAAGCCCCGGCUAACUACGUGCCAGCAGCCGCGGUAAUACGUAGGGGGCAAGCGUUAUCCGGAUUUACUGGGUGUAACGGGAGCGUAGACGGCAGUGCAAGUCUGGAGUGAAAGGCGGGGGCUCAACCCCCGGACUGCUCUGGAAACUGUACGGCUGGAGUGCAGGAGAGGUAAGGGGAAGUCCGAGUGUAGCGGUGAAAUGCGUAGAUAUUAGGAGGAACACCAGUGGCGGAGGCGGCUUACUGGACUGUAACUGACGGUGGGGGUCGAAAGCGUGGGGAGCAAACAGGAUUAGAUACCCGAGUAGUC